rnacentral:lncRNA from 1 species
CGGAAGGCCCAUAGUUGUUUGCAGAAGGCGUGUGAUUAAGUUUUAGGGACGAAACUUUCUUUAAAGGGGGGAUAACGUAAGGACUGAGAAUUUUGUUGUGUAGCUAAACUCUCUGUUGAUGAUAUUUUUGUGUGUAUUUUAAUUACAUAAUCACUCGUCAAGUUUCAGGAGAAAAUGAGUUAGGAUAGAGAUUUUACGUAAUCUUUACUUUUCACUUAAAGUGAAUAGAAACCU